rnacentral:rRNA from 1 species
UACGUAGGUGGCAAGCGUUGUUCGGAAUUACUGGGCGUAAAGCGCGCGUAGGCGGCUCUUCAAGUCAGGCGUGAAAGCCCCGAGCUUAACUCGGGAACUGCGCUUGAUACUGUCGAGCUAGAGUGUGGAAGGGGCGAUUGGAAUUCCGUGUGUAGCGGUGAAAUGCGUAGAUAUACGGAGGAACACCAGAGGCGAAGGCGGAUCGCUGGGCCAACACUGACGCUGAUGCGCGAAAGCUAGGGGAGCAAACGGG